rnacentral:tRNA from 1 species
GGGCCCGUAGUUUACCGGUAAAACUCCUGGCUGGCAGUCAGGUAUAAGCGGUUCGAUUCCGCUCGGGUCCA